AAUAGAGACAGGGUUUCUCCAUGUUGGUCAGGCUGGUCUCGAACUCCCGACCUCAGGUGAUUCACCCGCCUCGGCCUCUCAAAGUGCUGGGAUUACAGGCGUGAGCCACCACACCCGGCCUUCUUUGGUAUUCUUUUAUUUUUGAGACGGAGUCUCAUUCUGUUGCCCAGGCUGGAGUGCAGUGGUGUGAUCUUGGCUCACUGCAACCUCUGCCUCCCAGGUUCAAGUGAUUCUCCUGCCUCAGCCUCCCGAGUAGUUAGUAUUACAGGCAUGCGCUACCACACCCAGCUAAUUUUUUAUAUUUUUGGUAGAGACGGGGUUUCACCAUGUUGGCCAGGCUGGUCUCGAACUCCUGACCUCAAGUGAUCUGCCCGCUUUGGCCUUCCAAAGUGCUGGGAUUACAGGCGUGAGCUACUGCGCCUGGCCGACAAACACUCUUUUGAAUAAAUUUCCUAGAAUUCAUGGAUCCUAUCAAUCCAUCCACUGACUAGGAUAAGAACUUCUACAUGGCCGUUAAAAAGCAUAAGAGAGUUGUAUAUAUGCCAAUAAGGAAAUCUGUCAUAUUAUUGCAUGAAAAAAACAUGGUACAGAAUAGUCCCUAGAGUAGGAUCCCAUUUCUUGUGGGGUUGGGGGACAGGGUCUCACUCUGUUGUCCAGGCUGGAGUGCAGUGGUACGAUCUUGGCUCACUGCAGCCUCUACUUCCUGGGCUCAAGCGAUCCUCCCACCUCAGUCUCCCGAGUAGCUAGGACCACAGGUGUAUGCCACCAUGCCUGGCUAAUUUUUUUUCUUUGUAGAGAUGGGGUCUCUACAAAGAAGUGCUAGGAUUAUAGGUAUAAGUGCCGCACCGCCUGAUCUUUCUUUUUUUUUUUUUUUUUGAGGCAGAGUCUCACUCUGGUGUUGCCAGGCUGGAGUGCAGUGGCACAAUCUCGGCUCACUGCAACCUCUGCCUCCUGGGUUCAAGCAAUUCUGCCUCAGCCUCCCAAGUACCUGGGACUACAGGCACCCGCCACCACACCUGGCUAAUUUUUGUAUUUUUAGUAGAGAUGGGGUUUCACUGUGUUGGCCAGAUCUCCUGACCUUGUGAUCCACCACCCUUGGUCUCCCAAAGUGCUGGGAUUACAGGCAUGAGCCACAGGCCUGGCCUGAUCUUACUUCUUUUUUUUUUUUUUUUUUUUUUGAGACUGAGUCUUGCUCUGUCACCCAGGCUGGAGUGCUGUGGCGUGAUCUUGGCUCACUGCAACCUCCGCCUCCCAGGUUCAAGCAAUUCUCUGCCUCAGCCUCCUGAGUAGCUGGGAUUACAGGCACCUGCCACCACACCCGGCUAAUAUUUGUAUUUUUAGUAGAGAUGGGGUUUCACCAUCUUGGCCAGAGGCUGGUCUUGAACUCCUAACCUUGUGAUCCACCUGCCUCAGCCUCCCAAAGUGCUGGGAUUACAGGUGUGAGCCACCGUGCUCGGCCCUGAUCUUACUUUUAAUUGCAAACAAAUAUAGGCUCAUUAUAAAAGAAUGCAAAUGAUACCAAAAAAAGCAAAAGUCUCCAUUCCCCAGUCCUAUUCUCAGAGGUAACUGCCCUUUGACAGAUAUCUUUUUAGACUUUUGAAAUUUCUUUUUUAUUUCUAUUUUUUACUCUUUUGUAGACAUGCGAUCUCGCUAUGUUGCCCAGGCUGGUCUCCACCUCUUGGCCUCAAGCAAUCCUCCCACCUCAGCCUCCCAAAGUACUGGGAUUACAAGCGUGAGAUCCUGUUUCUACAAAAAAUAAAAAAUUAGCUGGGUGUGGUGGUGCGUGCCUAAAGUCCCAGCUAUGUGGGAAGCUGAGGCAACAGGGUUGUUUGGGUCUGUGGGGCUGAGGCUGCAGUGAGCUGUGAUCAUGCCACUGCAUACUAGCCUGGACAACAGAGCGAGAUCCUGUCUCAAAAAAAAAAAAAAAAGAAAGAAAAGAAAAAAGAUCAAACAAAACCUUAAAAAUAAAAACAACUGCAUCAAACCCUGGACCUAUGGCCAAUCAGCAUCUAGAUCAGGAGGAUGAAGGGAGUGCUGGCACUGCCACGUGACACCUUACACACUGGAUUCUCCCCAAGGAGCAUCAGGGGGGCACAGACUUGCUCUGAUCCGAUGUGCAGCCUGACCUCUGAUGCCUGAUCCACCUCCCGGUCCCCAUCUCCUAAUCAGGGAACUGUUUCUCCUGCUCUUCCAGCUGAAAACCCUAAAGGACACCACUGCCUUGAGGGAAAGCAGGGGCUGUCUGCCCAACCAAUGGCAGCUGUGCAGGCUGCCAAAGAGCCAUCCCCACUGCAUUCUCCGGGGUGGGAAGGAAGUGGUUCUGUGAGUGGCAGCUCUGGUGGGCUUGAGCUGCAGCUCUGGUGCUGAGAAGUCCAUGCCUUGUGCUUGGAGCUUUUCCAACUGCCUUGCAGUGGAUGCGAGGGGCG
rnacentral:lncRNA from 10 species